CAGUCGCCGCGGUAAUACGAAGGGGGCUAGCGUUGUUCGGAAUUACUGGGCGUAAAGCGCACGUAGGUGGUUUGUUAAGUUGGAUGUGAAAUCCCCGGGCUCAACCUGGGAACUGCAUUCAAAACUGACUGACUAGAGUAUGGUAGAGGGUGGUGGAAUUUCCUGUGUAGCGGUGAAAUGCGUAGAGAUCGGGAGGAACAUCAGUGGCGAAGGCGGCCAUCUGGGACAACACUGACGCUGAGGCACGAAAGCGUGGGGAGCAAACAGGAUUAGAUACCCGGGUAGUCCCUGUCUCUUAUAC
rnacentral:rRNA from 1 species